rnacentral:rRNA from 1 species
AUUGAACGCUGGCGGCAGGCCUAACACAUGCAAGUCGAGCGCGCGGCGGACGGGGGAGUAAUGUCUGGGAAACUGCCUGAUGGAGGGGGAUAACUACUGGAAACGGUAGCGAAUACCGCAUAUCAUAAGAUGUGUCCAGAUGGGAUUAGCUAGUGGGUGGGGGAAUGGCUCACCUCGGCGACGAUCCCUAGCUGGUCUGAGAGGAUGACCAGCCACACUGGAACUGAGACACGGUCCAGACUCCUACGGGAGGCAGCAGUGGGGAAUAUUGCACAAUGGGCGCAAGCCUGAUGCAGCCAUGCCGCGUGUAUGAAGAAGGCCUUCGGGUUGUAAAGUACUUUCAGCGAGGAGGCGUUACUCGCAGAAGAAGCACCGGCUAACUCCGUGCCAGCAGCCGCGGUAAUUC